rnacentral:tRNA from 1 species
GCGAGAAUGGUGGAAUUGGCAGACACGCUAGACUUAGGAUCUAGUGCUUACGCAUGGGGGUUCAAGUCCCCCUUCUCGCA